AGCGCAUACGGUGGAUGCCUUGGCAGUCAGAGGCGAUGAAAGACGUGGUAGCCUGCGAAAAGCUUCGGGGAGUCGGCAAACAGACUGUGAUCCGGAGGUAUCUGAAUGGGGGAACCCAGCCAUCAUAAGAUGGUUAUCUUGUACUGAAUACAUAGGUGCAAGAGGCGAACCAGGGGAACUGAAACAUCUAAGUACCCUGAGGAAAAGAAAUCAACCGAGAUUCCCUUAGUAGUGGCGAGCGAACGGGGACCAGCCCUUAAGUUGUAUUGAGAUUAGCGGAACACUCUGGAAAGGGUGGCCAUAGUGGGUGAUAGCCCUGUACGCGAAAAUCCCUUUGCAAUGAAAUCGAGUAGGACGGGGCACGAGAAACCUUGUCUGAAUAUGGGGGGACCAUCCUCCAAGGCUAAAUACUACUGACUGACCGAUAGUGAACCAGUACCGUGAGGGAAAGGCGAAAAGAACCGCGGAGAGCGGAGUGAAAUAGAUCCUGAAACCGUAUGCGUACAAGCAGUGGGAGCCCACUUUGUUGGGUGACUGCGUACCUUUUGUAUAAUGGGUCAGCGACUUAUUUUCAGUGGCGAGCUUAACCGAAUAGGGGAGGCGUAGCGAAAGCGAGUCUUAAUAGGGCGUCUAGUCGCUGGGAAUAGACCCGAAACCGGGCGAUCUAUCCAUGGGCAGGUUGAAGGUUGGGUAACACUAACUGGAGGACCGAACCGACUACCGUUGAAAAGUUAGCGGAUGACCUGUGGAUCGGAGUGAAAGGCUAAUCAAGCUCGGAGAUAGCUGGUUCUCCUCGAAAGCUAUUUAGGUAGCGCCUCAUGUAUCACUGUAGGGGGUAGAGCACUGUUUCGGCUAGGGGGUCAUCCCGACUUACCAAACCGAUGCAAACUCCGAAUACCUACAAGUGCCGAGCAUGGGAGACACACGGCGGGUGCUAACGUCCGUCGUGAAAAGGGAAACAACCCAGACCGUCAGCUAAGGUCCCAAAGUCAUGGUUAAGUGGGAAACGAUGUGGGAAGGCUUAGACAGCUAGGAGGUUGGCUUAGAAGCAGCCACCCUUUAAAGAAAGCGUAAUAGCUCACUAGUCGAGUCGGCCUGCGCGGAAGAUGUAACGGGGCUCAAACCAUGCACCGAAGCUACGGGUAUCAUCUUUUGAUGAUGCGGUAGAGGAGCGUUCUGUAAGCCUGUGAAGGUGAGUUGAGAAGCUUGCUGGAGGUAUCAGAAGUGCGAAUGCUGACAUGAGUAACGACAAUGGGUGUGAAAAACACCCACGCCGAAAGACCAAGGUUUCCUGCGCAACGUUAAUCGACGCAGGGUUAGUCGGUCCCUAAGGCGAGGCUGAAAAGCGUAGUCGAUGGAAAACAGGUUAAUAUUCCUGUACUUCUGGUUAUUGCGAUGGAGGGACGGAGAAGGCUAGGCCAGCCUGGCGUUGGUUGUCCAGGUUUAAGGUGGUAGGCUGAGAUCUUAGGUAAAUCCGGGAUCUUAAGGCCGAGAGCUGAUGACGAGUGUUCUUUUAGAACACGAAGUGGUUGAUGCCAUGCUUCCAAGAAAAGCUUCUAAGCUUCAGGUAACCAGGAACCGUACCCCAAACCGACACAGGUGGUUGGGUAGAGAAUACCAAGGCGCUUGAGAGAACUCGGGUGAAGGAACUAGGCAAAAUGGCACCGUAACUUCGGGAGAAGGUGCGCCGGUGAGGGUGAAGCAUUUACUGCGUAAGCCCAUGCCGGUCGAAGAUACCAGGCCGCUGCGACUGUUUAUUAAAAACACAGCACUCUGCAAACACGAAAGUGGACGUAUAGGGUGUGACGCCUGCCCGGUGCCGGAAGGUUAAUUGAUGGGGUUAGCGCAAGCGAAGCUCUUGAUCGAAGCCCCGGUAAACGGCGGCCGUAACUAUAACGGUCCUAAGGUAGCGAAAUUCCUUGUCGGGUAAGUUCCGACCUGCACGAAUGGCGUAACGAUGGCGGCGCUGUCUCCACCCGAGACUCAGUGAAAUUGAAAUCGCUGUGAAGAUGCAGUGUAUCCGCGGCUAGACGGAAAGACCCCGUGAACCUUUACUAUAGCUUUGCACUGGACUUUGAAUUUGCUUGUGUAGGAUAGGUGGGAGGCUUUGAAGCGUGGACGCCAGUCUGCGUGGAGCCAACCUUGAAAUACCACCCUGGCAACUUUGAGGUUCUAACUCAGGUCCGUUAUCCGGAUCGAGGACAGUGUAUGGUGGGUAGUUUGACUGGGGCGGUCUCCUCCUAAAGAGUAACGGAGGAGUACGAAGGUGCGCUCAGACCGGUCGGAAAUCGGUCGUAGAGUAUAAAGGCAAAAGCGCGCUUGACUGCGAGACAGACACGUCGAGCAGGUACGAAAGUAGGUCUUAGUGAUCCGGUGGUUCUGUAUGGAAGGGCCAUCGCUCAACGGAUAAAAGGUACUCCGGGGAUAACAGGCUGAUACCGCCCAAGAGUUCAUAUCGACGGCGGUGUUUGGCACCUCGAUGUCGGCUCAUCACAUCCUGGGGCUGAAGCCGGUCCCAAGGGUAUGGCUGUUCGCCAUUUAAAGUGGUACGCGAGCUGGGUUUAGAACGUCGUGAGACAGUUCGGUCCCUAUCUGCCGUGGACGUUUGAGAUUUGAGAGGGGCUGCUCCUAGUACGAGAGGACCGGAGUGGACGAACCUCUGGUGUUCCGGUUGUCACGCCAGUGGCAUUGCCGGGUAGCUAUGUUCGGAAAAGAUAACCGCUGAAAGCAUCUAAGCGGGAAACUUGCCUCAAGAUGAGAUCUCACUGGAACCUUGAGUUCCCUAAAGGGCCGUCGAAGACUACGACGUUGAUAGGUUGGGUGUGUAAGCGCUGUGAGGCGUUGAGCUAACCAAUACUAAUUGCCCGUGAGGCUUGACC
rnacentral:rRNA from 1 species